AAUCUGCCUGGUAGUGGGGGAUAACGUUCGGAAACGGACGCUAAUACCGCAUACGUCCUACGGGAGAAAGCAGGGGACCUUCGGGCCUUGCGCUAUCAGAUGAGCCUAGGUCGGAUUAGCUAGUUGGUGGGGUAAUGGCUCACCAAGGCGACGAUCCGUAACUGGUCUGAGAGGAUGAUCAGUCACACUGGAACUGAGACACGGUCCAGACUCCUACGGGAGGCAGCAGUGGGGAAUAUUGGACAAUGGGCGAAAGCCUGAUCCAGCCAUGCCGCGUGUGUGAAGAAGGUCUUCGGAUUGUAAAGCACUUUAAGUUGGGAGGAAGGGUUGUAGAUUAAUACUCUGCAAUUUUGACGUUACCGACAGAAUAAGCACCGGCUAACUCUGUGCCAGCAGCCGCGGUAAUACAGAGGGUGCAAGCGUUAAUCGGAAUUACUGGGCGUAAAGCGCGCGUAGGUGGUUUGUUAAGUUGGAUGUGAAAUCCCCGGGCUCAACCUGGGAACUGCAUUCAAAACUGACUGACUAGAGUAUGGUAGAGGGUGGUGGAAUUUCCUGUGUAGCGGUGAAAUGCGUAGAUAUA
rnacentral:rRNA from 1 species